rnacentral:rRNA from 1 species
CGGGUUGUAAAGCUCUGUCGUGCGGGACGAAAAAAUCGAAGUGAAUAGCUUCGAUCUUGACGGUACCGUGAAAGGAAGCACCGGCUAACUCUGUGC